rnacentral:rRNA from 1 species
UACGUAGGGGGCAAGCGUUGUCCGGAUUUACUGGGUGUAAAGGGUGCUCAGGUGGCUUGGAAAGUCAGUGGUGAAAUCUGAGAGCUUAACUCUCAAACUGCCAUUGAUACUUCUUAGCUUGAGUACGGAAGAGGCUGAUGGAAUUUCAGGUGUAGCAGUGAAAUGCGUAGAUAUCUGAAAGAACACCAGUGGCGAAGGCGGUCAGCUGGUCCGUUACUGACACUAAAGCACGAAAGCGUGGGUAGCAAACCGG